GAUGAACGCUGGCGGCGUGCCUAAUACAUGCAAGUCGAGCGAACAGAUAAGGAGCUUGCUCCUUUGACGUUAGCGGCGGACGGGUGAGUAACACGUGGGUAACCUACCUAUAAGACUGGGAUAACUUCGGGAAACCGGAGCUAAUACCGGAUAAAAUUUAGAACCGCAUGGUUCGAUAGUGAAAGAUGGUUUUGCUAUCACUUAUAGAUGGACCGCGUCGUAUUAGCUUGUUGGGAAGGUAACGGCUUACCAAGGCGACGAUACGUAGCCGACCUGAGAGGGGGGUCGGCUACACUAGAAUUGAGACACGGUCCAGACUCCAAUGGGAGGCAGGAGUAGGGAAUCUUCCGCAAUGGGCGAAAGCCUGACGGAGCACCGCCGAGUGAGUGAUGAAGGGCUUCGGCUCUUAAAACUCUGUUAUUAGGGAAGAACAUUCGUGUAAGUAACUGUGCACGCCUUGACGGUACCUAAUCAGAAAGCCACGGCUAACUCCGUG
rnacentral:rRNA from 1 species